GUUAACAGAGACCAACCAGAUGGGGCAGGCUGCUCUUGAACUUUCAACCUACAAAACUGUGAAUGAAGUAAGCCUCUACUUUAUAAAGGACCCAGACACAGUACCAGCACCACAUGGAUGAUGUCAAAGUCUGCCACCAGCUUAAGAAGUAGCCAGACCUCCUUGAACUUAUGGCUGCAGCAGCCUCUCUGAAUGCCUAGCAGCUGAGUGUGAUAAAAUGAAGUCUGGGGAAACAACUCUAUAGCCUCUCUAGUAAAACAGGAUGCCCC